AAGACUAUAAGCUGCAUAGCAGGUACUGAAGUGCAUUAGCAGAAGAGACUUUCUCAUCCAAGAGUUCUCUAUAACAAUGAAAUUCCAGGUCUAGUACAUAGCCCUAUAUUUAUCAAUGCCUCCUAUUUUUACAGCCCAGUCCUUCUUCCUCCCCUCCCCCAACCAUCCUCCAUCUCAGAACUGAACCUUUCCUUUUAUCAAAGAAAAAGUGAAACAAAAAUAACCAAUCCCACAACUGCAUCUGCCGAUGCACUCAGUAUACUCCCCUAGUAGCCCCUGACUCCCUGUCAAGAAGAGGGAGAUAGGCCUCAUCGUGUGUUCUACGUGACCAUGAUUAGAUUUUUCAUUUGUUCUUCAAAGUUUCCUUUUAGAGACCUUCUAAUUUACAUUACCAUGGCCACUGGUUUUGAGAUAAUAAGGUGGAGCUGGAUUCAUCAAGUCUCUUUUGCCAUCUUGCCAGAAGUCAUUCCUGAGUUUCUUCAUACAAGGAUGUGGUACAUUUUCCAUUUGUUUUGGAAUUAAGAACUGAAGAUUCUUCUUGGACCCGAACAUUAUCCUUUUAUUCUUCUAUGAUUUCUGCUUGGAAAAUAUGAUCAUUAGAUUUAUCAAACUACUGGAAAAAAUGCAUACAGUAGGUUUCGAAUCUUGCAAAAUAAAUUAUACUUCUAGGGUUCUGAGAAGAGAACCCAGCUCCA